GAUAAGAACCCUAGCCUUGCAAUCUACCAACAGCAGCCACAACAAAGAUGACUGACGAACUCAAUGGCAACCAGCAGGCACAACAAAGAUGACUGACGAACUCAAUGGCAACCAGUAGACACCCAUCUGUAGCCUCAUCGAGGACAACAACAAACAGCAGAAAACAACUACCACAAACAGCCUUCAUCACUGGAGAAAUCUAGAACGAAGAUGCCCUAACCCUUUUUCAUAGCUCCAGUUGUGAGAUUUCCUAACUGAUUUGCUGCCACCAAGAUAUUGGGAACUCCUUCAAAAAAUCAGCACAAGUAAAUCCCUUUUCUGAAGGUUUGAGACCUUGAAAAUCAAUUGCAAAGGAAAGGAAAACCAGAUUAAAACAGCCGCUGAAGACCAUAGCAGAGAAAAAGUAGAGGAAAGGAAAACCAGAUUAAACCAGCCAUUGGAAAUAUGUAUGUGAGUAAGACUUCUUACUUGGGAUGGAUGGAAGCAACCAACAAUGGCUUGCUUAUUCCUUCCAAUGCUCACAGUGAGAAGAUCAACCCAAUGCUGGCUGAGUUUACGAAAUAGGAAAUCCCAUAGGAGGAUCUUCAAAUCGGUGAACGUAUUGGCAUUGGUAAGAAUUUAUUCUCCUAAAUUUAUUCA